CCUACGGGUGCUGCAGUGGGGAAUAUUGGACAAUGGGCGAAAGCCUGAUCCAGCCAUGCCGCGUGUGUGAAGAAGGCCUUCGGGUUGUAAAGCACUUUCAGUGGGGAAGAAAGCCUUGGGGCUAAUACCCUCGAGGAAGGACAUCACCCACAGAAGAAGCACCGGCUAACUCCGUGCCAGCAGCCGCGGUAAUACGGAGGGUGCGAGCGUUAAUCGGAAUUACUGGGCGUAAAGCGCGCGUAGGCGGUCUGAUAAGCCGGUUGUGAAAGCCCCGGGCUCAACCUGGGAACGGCAUCCGGAACUGUCAGGCUAGAGUGCAGGAGAGGAAGGUAGAAUUCCCGGUGUAGCGGUGAAAUGCGUAGAGAUCGGGAGGAAUACCAGUGGCGAAGGCGGCCUUCUGGACUGACACUGACGCUGAGGUGCGAAAGCGUGGGUAGCAAACAGGAUUAGAUACCCCGGUAGUC
rnacentral:rRNA from 1 species